UACGGAGGGGUGCAAGCGUUAUCCGGAUUUACUGGGUUUAAAGGGUGCGUAGGUGGGUCUGUAAGUCAGUGGUGAAAUCUCCGAGCUUAACUCGGAAACUGCCAUUGAUACUAUAGAUCUUGAAUAUCCUGGAGGUGAGCGGAAUAUGUCAUGUAGCGGAUGAAAUGCUUAGAUAUGACAUAGAACACCAAUUGCGAAGGCAGCUACACUACGGGAUUAUUGACACUGAGGCACGAAAGCGUGGGGAUCAAACAGG
rnacentral:rRNA from 1 species